rnacentral:rRNA from 1 species
CCUACGGGGGGCAGCAGUGGGGAAUAUUGCACAAUGGGCGAAAGCCUGAUGCAGCGACGCCGCGUGAGGGAUGAAGGCCUUCGGGUUGUAAACCUCUUUCAGUAGGGAAGAAGCGAAAGUGACGGUACCUGCAGAAGAAGCGCCGGCUAACUACGUGCCAGCAGCCGCGGUAAUACGUAGGGCGCAAGCGUUGUCCGGAAUUAUUGGGCGUAAAGAGCUCGUAGGCGGUUUGUCGCGUCUGGUGUGAAAACUCAAGGCUCAACCUUGAGCUUGCAUCGGGUACGGGCAGACUAGAGUGUGGUAGGGGUGACUGGAAUUCCUGGUGUAGCGGUGGAAUGCGCAGAUAUCAGGAGGAACACCGAUGGCGAAGGCAGGUCACUGGGCCACUACUGACGCUGAGGAGCGAAAGCAUGGGGAGCGAACAGGAUUAGAUACCCCAG